CCUACGGGUGACUGCAGUGGGGAAUAUUGCACAAUGGGGGAAACCCUGAUGCAGCGACGCCGCGUGAGUGAAGAAGUAUUUCGGUACGUAAAGCUCUAUCAGCAGGGAAGAAAAUGACGGUACCUGACUAAGAAGCCCCUGCUAACUACGUGCCAGCAGCCGCGGUAAUACGUAGGGGGCACGCGUUAUCCGGAUUUACUGGGUGUAAAGGGAGCGUAGACGGCAGCGCAAGUCUGGAGUGAAAUCCCAUGGCUUAACCAUGGAACUGCUUUGGAAACUGUGCAGCUAGAGUGCAGGAGAGGUAAGCGGAAUUCCUAGUGUAGCGGUGAAAUGCGUAGAUAUUAGGAGGAACACCAGUGGCGAAGGCGGCUUACUGGACUGUAACUGACGUUGAGGCUCGAAAGCGUGGGGAGCAAACAGGAUUAGAUACCCCAGUAGUC
rnacentral:rRNA from 1 species